UACGUAGGGGGCAAGCGUUGUUCGGAUUUAUUGGGCGUAAAGAGCGUGUAGGCGGCCUGACAGGUCAGCUGUGAAAACUCGAGGCUUAACCUCGAGACGUCGGUUGAAACCAUCUGGCUAGAGUCCGGAAGAGGAGUGUGGAAUUCCCGGUGUAGCGGUGAAAUGCGCAGAUAUCGGGAAGAACACCCGUGGCGAAGGCGGCACUGGACCACAACUGACGCUGAGGCGCGAAAGCUAGGGGAGCAAACAGG
rnacentral:rRNA from 1 species